rnacentral:piRNA from 1 species
UGAGUAAGAAAGUGUGCCAGUGACAAUGUC